UACGGAGGGUGCAAGCGUUGCUCGGAAUUAUUGGGCGUAAAGCGCACGCAGGCGGCAAGGUAAGUCAGUUGUGAAAUUCCCGAGCUUAACUUGGGGGCUGCAGCUGAUACUGCCCUGCUUGAGUACGGAAGAGGGGAGCGGAAUUCCCAGUGUAGAGGUGAAAUUCGUAGAUAUUGGGAGGAACACCGGUGGCGAAGGCGGCUCCCUGGUCCGAUACUGACGCUCAUGUGCGAAAGCGUGGGGAGCAAACAGG
rnacentral:rRNA from 1 species